rnacentral:rRNA from 1 species
CCUACGGGAGGCAGCGGUGAGGAAUAUUGGUCAAUGGACGAGAGUCUGAACCAGCCAAGUAGCGUGAAGGAUGACUGCCCUAUGGGUUGUAAACUUCUUUUAUAUGGGAAUAAAAUGUUCCACGUGUGGGAUUUUGUAUGUACCAUAUGAAUAAGGAUCGGCUAACUCCGUGCCAGCAGCCGCGGUAAUACGGAGGAUCCGAGCGUUAUCCGGAUUUAUUGGGUUUAAAGGGAGCGUAGGUGGAUUGUUAAGUCAGUUGUGAAAGUUUGCGGCUCAACCGUAAAAUUGCAGUUGAAACUGGCAGUCUUGAGUACAGUAGAGGUGGGCGGAAUUCGUGGUGUAGCGGUGAAAUGCUUAGAUAGCACGAAGAACUCCGAUUGCGAAGGCAGUUCACUGGACUGCAACUGACACUGAGGCUCGAAAGUGUGGGUAUCAAACAGGAUUAGAUACCCUUGUAGUC